ensembl:snRNA U6 U6 spliceosomal RNA
GUGCUUGCUUUGGCAGCACCUAUACUAAAAUUAGAACGAUACAGAGAAGAUUAGUGUGGCCCCUGCGCAUGAGGAUGAUUUGCACGUUCAUGAAGCAUUCCAUAUUUUU